UUAGGUUGACCUCGGAUCAGGUAGGGAUACCCGCUGAACUUAAGCAUAUCAAUAAGCGGAGGAAAAGAAACCANCAGGGAUUACCUCAGUAACGGCGAGUGAAGCGGUAACAGCUCAAAUUNGAAAUCUGGCUCUUUCAGGGUCCGAGUUGUAAUUUGUAGAAGAUGUUUUGGGUGUGGCUCCGGUCUAAGUUCCUUGGAAGAGGACGUCAUAGAGGGUGAGAAUCCCGUAUGUGACUGGAUGCUUUCGCCCGUGUAAAGCUCUUUCGACGAGUCGAGUUGUUUGGGAAUGCAGCUCAAAAUGGGUGGUAAAUUUCAUCUAAAGCUAAAUAUUGGCCAGAGACCGAUAGCGCACAAGUAGAGUGAUCGAAAGAUGAAAAGCACUUUGGAAAGAGAGUUAAACAGUACGUGAAAUUGUUGAAAGGGAAGCGCUUGCAACCAGACUCGCAUGCCGUCGAUCAUCCUGGGUUCUCCCUGGUGCACUCGGCGGUACUCGGGCCAGCAUCGGUUUGGGUGGUGGGAUAAAGGCCUUGGGAAUGUAGCUCCUUUCGGGGAGUGUUAUAGCCCUCGGUGCAAUGCCGCCUACCUGGACCGAGGACCGCGCUUCGGCUAGGAUGCUGGCGUAAUGGUUGUAAGCGACC
rnacentral:rRNA from 1 species